UCAAUGUGCCAGCCUGUCAAUUAGUCAGACCAUGUAUCUAUGUAUCAUUUGAUCAAACCAUCUGUCUAUAGCCUGUCUAUUGGGUAGCCAGCAUGUGACAGCCCAAACCAUCUAGUUGGGUUAUUCUCAGUACUCUGAGCUGCUUGUAUCGCCGUGUUAUAAUGUAACCAGGUCAUCAAGCCAGAGAUCAACAGGAACAACCUGAUUUUACAUUUUUAUUAUUUCAUUUUAUUUCUGGAGCGCCAGCACCAUCAACCGGUUAGCUGUCACUCAUUGCUACAUGCAUUCCGUGUAUCAACGAGUGGUAUAAAUACGCACAUUUAAAUGGACCGCUCAGCUCCCAUUUGCAUUAAAGUUCAUAUGAUGGCUGGAGUGUCCAUGUAAGUCUAAAACAGCUCUUUGAUGACAUUGUUUAGGUAGUAUGAGUUCAGAAAACUAUCGCUUAUAGAAGUGAUUGUCACUUAACUGACCGCUUUUCACAGCUCCUAGGAUGUCAUCAAAAUGUAGGUACUGGAUCUUCCCAUUUAAAGAUGAACUUGAGACCAGAAGGAUGGUGGGAAAUGGCACAGAGGUCCUCACAACCACAACAUUGUGUGUUACAAACACCCGAUAAUUACACAACAAGAGUAUUUCUGCACAAAAUAGCUGUGAAAAUAUGUGAAUGGUAGGUCAAGUAGGUAUAUGGGAGUUACAGUAUAUUGCUACACGAACAAGGCAAGGAGAAGCUCAUUCAUACACAAUGUAUGGGGAAGAUA